rnacentral:rRNA from 1 species
AGAGUGAACGCUGGCGGCAGGCCUAACACAUGCAAGUCGAACGGCAGCACAGAGGAGCUUGCUCCUUGGGUGGCGAGUGGCGGACGGGUGAGGAAUACGUCGGAAUCUGCCUAUUUGUGGGGGAUAACGUAGGGAAACUUACGCUAAUACCGCAUACGACCUACGGGUGAAAGCGGAGGACCUUCGGGCUUCGCGCAGAUAGAUGAGCCGACGUCGGAUUAGCUAGUUGGCGGGGUAAAGCCCACAAGGCGACGAUCCGUAGCUGGUCUGAGAGGAUGAUCAGCCACACUGGAACUGAGACACGGUCCAGACUCCUA